GUCAUCUUCCCGGGGGGGGGCCCAGCUCAGCUUCCAGCCUCCUCCCAAACCUCUCCCACUCGCCCCUCCAAGGCCUCCGAUAUGGGGAAGGGCUCCUAACCCCGGGACCCGCACAUUGGGAAAGGAAUAAGGAAAGACAGAUGGCGGCCCCCAGAAGCCUGGGCCCGACGGCCGCCGCGCUCCUUGUCCUGCCAUCCGAGGUGACUCCAGCCGGGCCCGACUCGCUUCUGAGUUGGAUUUAGGGGCCGAAGCUGCGCGAAGUCACCGGCCUCGCUCCCCUCCAGCAACAUCGGCUGCCCGAGCCCAGAAGGGGGAAGGAGGCCCCCCAGCAUCGCCUGGGAAGCCCGGGGUCGGAGGGAGGGACGAAGGCCUGAGAAAUGGGACCAUUGUUAGGCCCUACUCGGAGUCAUUUGCUGCGGCUGCUGCCUUCCCGCCCCCCACAGCUCAGCUCCCUCGCGGGCCGGGGCCGGUCUCCUUCCCAGCAGCCUCCUGGAGCCAGCGCCUCUGCUCCCUUUCCUUCAGGCCCCGUCGCGUCACCCACGCUGGCAGCGCUCGGCAGGGGCUGAAGGGCAACCUCUCUACAACUCAAAGGGGGGGUUCUAAGACGGGGCUUGGUGUCCAACACUAGUGAGAAGCUCCCGCUCAGGGCUCGCAGAGCAUCUAAUGAGACCCGGGGGGGGUCGAGCCCCUGCCCAUGACCCUCCCUUGUCCCUCUUCUCCUCAGUCUUCCAAGAUCUA